rnacentral:rRNA from 1 species
UACAGAGGUCUCAACCGUUGUUCGGAUUCAUUGGGCGUAAAGGGUGCGUAGGCGGUCGUGCAAGUCGGAUGUGAAAUCUCAGGGCUCAACCCUGAAACUGCAUUCGAUACUGCGCGGCUAGAGUGCUGGAGGGGAGACUGGAAUUUACGGUGUAGCAGUGAAAUGCGUAGAUAUCGUAAGGGAGACCAGUGGCGAAGGCGAGUCUCUGGACAGCAACUGACGCUGAGGCACGAAGGCCAGGGGAGCAAACGGG